UACGUAGGUGGCAAGCGUUAUCCGGAUUUACUGGGUGUAAAGGGCGUGUAGGCGGGAAAGCAAGUCAGAUGUGAAAACCACGGGCUCAACCUGUGGCCUGCAUUUGAAACUGUUUUUCUUGAGUAUCGGAGAGGCAGGCGGAAUUCCUAGUGUAGCGGUGAAAUGCGUAGAUAUUAGGAGGAACACCAGUGGCGAAGGCGGCCUGCUGGACGACAACUGACGGUGAGGCGCGAAAGCGUGGGGAGCAAACAGG
rnacentral:rRNA from 1 species